CCCUUAGAUGUUCUGGGCAGCACGCGCGCUACAAUGGUCUUCGCAAACGGAUGCAUUCUCGAAGGAGAAUGCCAAUCUUGGAAUCUAUGCCUUGGUCGGGACAGUUGCUUGCAAUUUUUCGACUCGAACCAGGAAUUCCUUGUAAUCGUGAUUCAUCACAUCACGAUGAAUACGUCCCUGCCCUUUGUACGCACCGCCCGUCUCUCCUACCGAUCGAAGAGUUAGGUGAAUUGUUUUGAUCGAUAAGAUUUGACUAUGGUCAACUCUCGUUGUGAAAUUCUGUGAAUCUGACUGUUUAGAGGAAGGAAAAGUCGUAACA
rnacentral:rRNA from 1 species